rnacentral:rRNA from 1 species
GACGAACGCUGGCGGCGUGCUUAACACAUGCAAGUCGAACGGAAAGGCCCUGCUUUUGUGGGGUGCUCGAGUGGCGAACGGGUGAGUAACACGUGAGUAACCUGCCCUUGACUUUGGGAUAACUUCAGGAAACUGGGGCUAAUACCGGAUAGGAGCUCCUGCUGCAUGGUGGGGGUUGGAAAGUUUCGGCGGUUGGGGAUGGACUCGCGGCUUAUCAGCUUGUUGGUGGGGUAGUGGCUUACCAAGGCUUUGACGGGUAGCCGGCCUGAGAGGGUGACCGGCCAACAUGGGAAUGGGGUUACGGCCAGGCUCCUUACGGGAGGCAGCAGUGGGAAAUAUGGAACAUGGGGCGGAGGCCUGAUGCGGCACGGCGCGUGCGGGAUGACGGCCUUCGGGUUGUAAACCGCUUUCGCCUGUGACGAAGCGUGAGUGACGGUAAUGGGUAAAGAAGCACCGGCUAACUACGUG